UGGGGAAUAUUGCACAAUGGGCGAAAGCCUGAUGCAGCAACGCCGCGUGAGGGACGACGGCCUUCGGGUUGUAAACCUCUUUUAGCAAGGAAGAAGCGAAAGUGACGGUACUUGCAGAAAAAGCGCCGGCUAACUACGUGCCAGCAGCCGCGGUAAUACGUAGGGCGCAAGCGUUAUCCGGAAUUAUUGGGCGUAAAGAGCUCGUAGGCGGUUUGUCGCGUCUGCUGUGAAAACCCGAGGCUCAACCUCGGGCCUGCAGUGGGUACGGGCAGACUAGAGUGCGGUAGGGGAGAUUGGAACUCCUGGUGUAGCGGUGGAAUGCGCAGAUAUCAGGAAGAACACCGAUGGCGAAGGCAGAUCUCUGGGCCGUAACUGACGCUGAGGAGCGAAAGGGUGGGGAGCAAACAGGCUUAGAUACCCUGGUAGUCCACCCGUAAACGUUGGGAACUAGUUGUGGGUCCAUUCCACGGAUUCCGUGACGCAGCUAACGCAUUAAGUUCCCCGCCUGGGGAGUACGGCCGCAAGGCUAAACUCAAAUGAAUUGACGGGGUCAUAGCUG
rnacentral:rRNA from 1 species